rnacentral:rRNA from 1 species
CCUACGGGUGGCAGCAGUCGAGAAUCAUUCACAAUGGGGGAAACCCUGAUGGUGCGACGCCGCGUGGGGGAAUGAAGGUCUUCGGAUUGUAAACCCCUGUCAUGUGGGAGCAAAUUAAAAAGAUAGUACCACAAGAGGAAGAGACGGCUAACUCUGUGCCAGCAGCCGCGGUAAUACCGAGGGCUCAAGCGUUGUUCGGAAGCACUGGGCGUAAAGCGUGCGUAGGCUGUUUCGUAAGUCGUGAGUGAAAGGCGAGGGCUCAACCCGCGUACGGAACAUGAUACUGCGAGACUAGAGUAAUGGAGGGGGAAGCAGAAUUCUCGGUGUAGCAGUGAAAUGCGUAGAUAUCGGGAGGAAUACUGGUGGCGAAGGCGGGUUCCUGGACAUUAACUGACGCUGAGGCACGAAGGCCAGGGGAGCGAAAGGGAUUAGAUACCCGUGUAGUC